UGCAGGGUCGGCUGGCCGAGGCGGCGCGCGCCUGCCGCGCCCUGCAGGCGCCCGAGCUGGCGGCCGCCGGUGCGGGGCUGGCCCGGGCGGCC
rnacentral:tRNA from 2 species